AUACGGGCACGUGACGUCUCUACUCCAAUCAGCCACGACCUUUCCAGCCCCUGACCUGUUUCUUAGGGGGCCCAUGCCCUACAAAAAGGGUGUGUAUUCAGCCUCGGGUUCUCUGGGUGCAAUAGAAGACAUUACAGACUAUUUCCAGACCAGACUGUGGCAGCUGACCUUACAUCAUUUGUGGUAUAUCCCCACCCCUGCUAAAUACCCUUGUGUAUGUGUAAAUAACCAUACAGCCAUUUUUGUUUUUUGCUGCGUGAUAGCCGUCCACAGUUUUUAUUAAUUCUCCAACAAGAAAAAACAGGUAUAACUUCUCAAGCUUUUGAAAGCAGUAUGGCGCCGCAGGACUCCUGGUGAGCAAGUCUGCCUUCCCAGCUCAACUAAUCAUAGAAUCUCACCAGAAAACCUCCAAAUGGGACUUCACUAUGAAUUCCACUAGAACACCACCAAAUAAAAAACAAAAGAAGAAACACAAAUGCGAGGGAGGGCAGUCUGCAGGCUUUGCUUCAGCAGCAGUUCAGGGCUUAACCUGUCAGCAUUUGUGGCAGCAGGGAGGAGUAUGUCAAAGAGAUUGCUGAGACUUAUGGCCUGCUUCUCAUCAGACAUGGAAACUUGACUUAGUACACCCCAUAAGGGUCUUGGAUCAUAAAUUCAACAGAAGACAGAAGAGGUCUCACUUCAGACCACCCCUCACCUUGCAGAAUCACCAUUCCUUGAUCAUUGGUCAUCAUUGUGCCAAUAAAUCCAAGGCUUGUCUAAAGGUCAAGCUCUCAGGCUUUCUGGAAUAUUAUGUGCCAUAUGGUGCAUUAAAACUUCCUCCUCAAGAGACACUUCUGUGGCCUGAACUGCACUAGACAUCCAGAAGAUUCCGUAUUGAUCUUGUAUUUUAUU